rnacentral:rRNA from 1 species
AACGAACGCUGGCGGCGUGGAUAAGACAUGCAAGUCGAACGGGAUAUUUUUGUAGCAAUACCGGAAUAUUCAGUGGCGAACGGGUGCGUAACACGUGGGUAACAUGCCGGGAAGAGGAGAAUAGCCCAGGGAAACUUGGAUUAAUGCUCCAUGUGGUCGCAAGACUAAAGACGGGGUAACCUGUCGCUUCCUGAUUGGCCCGCGGCCUAUCAGCUAGUUGGCGAGGUAACGGCUCACCAAGGCGACGACGGGUAGGUGGUCUGAGAGGAUGACCAGCCACACUGGAACUAAGACACGGUCCAGACACCUACGGGUGGCAGCAGUCGAGAAUCUUUCACAAUGGGGGCAACCCUGAUGGAGCGACGCCGCGUGGAGGAUAAGGUCUUCGGAUUGUAAACUCCUGUCAUGCGAGAGUAAGGCCCCGCGUUAACUGCGUGUGGGAUUGACAGUACCGCAAGAGGAAGAGACGGCUAACUCUGUGCCAGCCGCCGCCGUAAGAC